ensembl:lncRNA
GGGAGAAAGGUUAGAGAGGGGGAAUAUCACCUUGACAACGGCCCACAUCGUUUAUGCCCCGCCAUCGCUCCAUCUGUCUCCUGUUUUUAUUUUUGUAUUUUUUUUGGGAGGAGGGUGUUUUUUCUCGGCACGGCUACGAUCCAACAGGGGCAGUGAGCUGGAGGCCCAGUAGUAGUCUGCGAGCCCGUGCCCAGGAACACCUGGUUAGCACCGUGAUGAAGGACAGCCAGAGUCGGCCAACCGGUGUUCAGCAUCGCUCUGCCCCGCCCACUGUGAGAAGAGACAUUUCUACUUACAAGCCAGGAUUAUCAGGAUCACCACGGUACCCCCUCUCUGCUCGGUCCACCUCGGCCCGGCGCCCCGCUCCGGCAGAGGAACUCUCCCCCCUCCUCUCUCUCUCCCGCCUCCCUCCCCCCUCCCUCUCUGGCCCGUGCUCCGGGGGCGUGUCCUUGCGGCCCGUGUCCCGCGCCGCCCAGGAGAUCCAGGACAUCAGCGGUGUGGACCGGGCGAGCGGAGAGGACCCCAGGGAGGACGCGGACGCGGAGGCCCUGACCCGCCUGGAGGAGGAGCUCAGACUCAUGGUCCAUGAUACAAGCGCUCGGCCCGCGUUAAUAAGGAGCGCAGGCCACGGAGCACAAGGCCAGCGGAGGACUAAAGAUCUGACAUGGGGCGGAGUCAGUGAGGAGCAGAAACAGGAGGAAGAGGAAGUGGCGAGAGAUCACCAGAGUGUCUUGUCACUGCCUUGAAGCACGCCGAGUCAGAUAUGGAUGAACCGGCAUGUGGAUGUAUGCAUGUGGGUGUAUGCAUGUGCACACACACACAGUCACACACAGUCACACACACACACACACACACACACACACACACACACACGCACACGCACACGCACACACACACCUGUCAUUUUUGGGGACUACUUUAAACAACAUAUAGAUAGACUAAUUUGCAUUUAUUUUCGAAACCUUCACUGUCAUGUAGAUAAGUGAGGCUACUGACUGUGCCUUGUAUUCUGUCUAGUCAGCCCUGGCAAUAAGCUAUUAGCUCUUACCAUUGGCUAUUUAAAAAAAAAUCAGGAAACGGGUGAGACAUUGUGACAUGACUAAGCAUUAAAGAAUCCAAUCUGAUGACGUUUCCCUUGCAUUUAUGUGUUUUUGUGUGUGUGUCUGUGUCUGUGUGAGAGCAUGCCCCAAUGAAAACCCCCAGGUGUGGAGCAGUGGACACAUUUAAUUAUGAGUGUUUCCUAUCCCUUCCCCAGUGUGUAUAUUCACCAGGUUAGAGUACCAGGGGUUCGGUUCAAAGGCGGACAUACUACUACUGCCUCCCUGUCUGCUUCUUUCACAAACGCACACAUAAAAGGUUUCUGCAGGUGAUAAAUUUAGUUUGUGCGGGGAGCAGAAAAUAGGUGCUGUGCCAAAGGACACGGUUGCCAUUACUUUAUGCGUGUGUGUGUGUGUGUGUGUAGGUGUGUAUGUGUGUGUGUCUUUGUGUGUGUGUGUGUGUGUGUGUCUGCCAUACGAGGUAGAAAAAGAUAAACCAGCGGCACAGGAUCUGGGUUUGUUGUCUCUGUGGUGUGUGUGUGUGAGUGAGAGAGAGAAACUGGCUUUGGGUACAUAUUUAUCUUCCUCUCUCUCAUCGCCAUGCUGUUUUGCAUGGCUCCUCACAGCCAGCACUAAUCUAUCAC